rnacentral:rRNA from 1 species
GCCUGACCUCGGAUCAGACGUGAUUACCCGCUGAAUUUAAGCAUAUUAUUAAGCGGAGGAAAAGAAACUAACAAGGAUUCCCCUAGUAACGGCGAGUGAACGGGGAAGAGCCCAACACCGAAUCCCUUGGCGCAAGUCAACGGGAAAUGUGGUGUUAAGGUAGCCCUUCGUGUCAGUCUAGGCGUCUCAAGUCCACCUGAUUGUGGCUCAAGCCCAGAGAGGGUGUAAGGCCCGUAGAGACGCUCCGACUGAUUCCUGGGGUUUACCUACGAGUCGGCUUGUUUGGGAAUGCAGGCCAAAGCGGGUGGUAAACUCCAUCCAAGGCUAAAUACUGGCACGAGUCCGAUAGCGGACAAGUACCGUGAGGGAAAGUUGAAAAGAACUUUGAAGAGAGAGUUCAAUAGUACGUGAAACCGCUUAGAGGCAAACGGAUGGUGCUCAUACUGGCCUGAGGAAUUCAACUGUGACGGUGGCUGGACGAGCUGGCGUUCCGAUCUCUCUUUUGGGACGGGCGUCGGUUUGGCUAUCAGCUCCGACAUGGUGCACUUUCCUUGGUGCCUCCGCCACGACCGACGACACUGGCUACCCGCGGCUGGGGUAAGGUGACAAACUGCUUCGGCAAUUUGUGUUAUAGACCCCGGCGUCGGACAUGGUUUGGCCAGGACGUCGAGCUUGCGGCGCCCGCUCCUUGUGGGCUCGCAUGUUGGCUAGCUUGGCUGCGCCGAUGCUUGCACUGGACAACCAGUACAGGUGACGGUUGUGGUCUUGUCUCUAGUUGGCCUCUGCGAGUUUGGCGCCUAUAGUCUGUGGUGUACUUGUGGGUAGACUAUCCGACCCGUCUUGAAACACGGACCAAGGAGUCUAACAUGUGCGCGAGUCAUGGGGAUUCUACGAAACCCAAAGGCGCAGUGAAAGUAAAGGCCUGCUUCUCGUAGGCUGAGGUGGGAUCUCGUGCAUCGCGAUUGGCGAGCGCACCACCGGCCCGUCCUAUCUGUCUCUGUCAGUGGGGCGGCGCAAGAGCGUACACGUUGGGACCCGAAAGAUGGUGAACUAUGCUUGCGCAGCUCGAAGUCAGUGGAAACACUGAUGGAGGAGCGCAGCGUUUCUGACGUGCAAAUCGAUCGUCAAACGUGAGUAUAGGGGCGAAAGACUAAUCGAACCAUCUAGUAGCUGGUUCCCUCCGAAGUUUCCCUCAGGAUAGCUGGCACUCGGGAAACAGUUUUAUCCGGUAAAGCGAAUGAUUAGAGGCAUUGGGGUCGAAACGACCUCGACCUAUUCUCAAACUUUAAAUGGGUAAGAUGCUCGUCUCGCUUAAUUGGAGGCGGGCUUCACCUCUCUAUAACGUGAAUGUGAGUGCCCAGUGGGCCAUUUUUGGUAAGCAGAACUGGCGCUGUGGGAUGAACCAAACGCGCGGUUAAGGCGCCCAAUGCGGACGCUCAUGAGACACCACAAAAGGUGUUGGUCGAUACUGACAGCAGGACGGUGGCCAUGGAAGUCGGAACCGCUAAGGAGUGUGUAACAACUCACCUGCCGAAUCAACCAGCCCUGAAAAUGGAUGGCGCUGGAGCGUCGGGCCUAUACCGUGCCGUUGGGGCGAAGCAGACAAAUAAUCUGUGUGGAUGUCCCAACGAGUAGGAGGGUCGCCGUGGUGAGCGCAGAAGGUGCGGCCGUGAGGCCGGCUGGAGCCGCCACGGGCGCAGAUCUUGGUGGUAGUAGCAAUUACUCAAGUGAGAACCUUGAGGACUGAAGUGGAGAAGGGUUCCAUGUGAACAGCAGUUGAACAUGGGUCAGGCGGUCCUAAGCGAUCGGGUAACUCCGUACCUAGACGAGGGUGACAACUAUCACUGAUAAUACUUGUGACGUGUUAUAGCCCUCCGGAGCGAAAGGGAAUCGUGUUAAUAUUCACGACCCUUACCGUGGAGAUCGCCCCUUUCGGGGGGCAAGUGCGGUAACGCAAACGAACACAGAGACGUCGGCUGGAGCCCCGGGAAGAGUUCUCUUUUCUUUGUAAGGAGCGUACCCCCUGGAAUCGGCUUGUCCGGAGAUAGGGGCGUGGCUUCCGUAAAGCAGCGCGGGUCUUGCGCUGUCCGGUGCACUCUAGUCGGCCCUUGAAAAUCUGUGGGAGACAGUGUGAUUUUCACGGUAGGCCGUACCCAUAUCCGCAGCAGGUCUCCAAGGUGAACAGCCUCUAGUCCUAGAACAAUGUAGGUAAGGGAAGUCGGCAAAAUGGAUCCGUAACUUCGGGAAAAGGAUUGGCUCUGAGGGCUGGGUCGGAUGGGCUGGCGUAAGAAGCUGUUCCGGUUUUGGUGAGGACUGGGCGAGGCUUUCGGGCUUUACUCGGACCAUGCCGAGACCAGGCAGUAGACGACGUCAGCUGUGCUUGUCGUGUUUCGGCGCGGCAGCUUCGUCCGGCAACAAACAGCCAACUCAGAACUGGCACGGACUAGGGGAAUCCGACUGUCUAAUUAAAACAAAAAUGCAUUGCGAUGCUUUGCUCGUGUUGACGCAAUGUGAUUUCUGCCCAGUCUCUGAAUGUCAAAGUGAGAAAUUCAAUCAAGCGCGGGUAAACGGCGGGAGUAACUAUGACACCUCAUAGAGAGGUGUCUCUAUGAACCAUGCUCAUCUUAGAGGCGGCUUGGCGGCAGCUAGAAGGGGAUAGUGAGCUUAUUUAGCUUGGUUAGAUCUUAGAAAAGCGUUUGACUCGGUCGGUUAACCAUCAAUCUUUUGCUUCGUGCGCAGCUCGGCGUGCAGGACUGCCUGAGUCCAUCUUGGGUUACUUGGGCAACCUGUACGACGGGGCGGUCACGAGUUGAACGGGGGUUGCUAUUAAGAUUAGUAGAGGGGUUAAGCAGGGGGAUCCUCUAUCACCUAUUUCUUUUCUGCUAUGUGAUAGAUGAGUUAAUGGACAACCUAGAUAGCGGUAUUGGGUUCCCGUUGGCAGGGCAUAGAGUCAACGCGGCAGCCUUUGCCGACGACUUGGCUAUUCUGUCUAGGUCUAAAGCCGGUUUGCAGGCGCUCUUGGCAAGCUUGGCCGACUCACUUCUUCCCACUGGGCUUGAGGUGAACCCGGCUAAGUGCUCCACGCUUGCUUAUUUUGGGCGGGAAGAAUAAGCGUUGGCUGCAUGAUGCCAAGGGGCAGUUUAAGUUUAGGGGACUCUGGCCAGCACUUGGAGUUGAGGAGUCGU